GAGCACCUGGGUAUAAAAAGGGACAGCAACUGUUGAAGAUCGCCCUCUUCACUUACUCUGACAUACUCUACCUGCAUCAGCUGACCUGGAACUUCUCUACGACAACUGAAAACAGAAAUUGUCCUAAGAUCUCCAAGACAUGACUAAGGUUUUCAAGAAGACCAGUGGGCACGGAGGGCUAACCCUCUACCUGGGGAAGAGAGACUAUGUAGACAAUGUGGACAGUGUGGAAAGUGUUGAUGGUGUUGUUAAGUUGGACACAUCACAGUUUGGAGACAGAAAAGUGUUUGUGCAGCUGGCAUGUGCCUUUCGUUAUGGUAGUGAGGACCUGGAUGUGAUCGGCCUAUCGUUCAGGAAGGACAUCUGGUUCAAGCAGAUCCAGAUCUACCCAGAAAGCCACAAGCCCACACUAACGCCCAUGCACGACACCCUGCUGAAGAAGGCUGGCGACAAUGCUUACCCUUUCACAUUUGAAAUUCCCACCAACCUGCCAUGCUCAGUCACCCUGCAGCCUGCACCUGACGACAAGGGAAAGGCCUGUGGAGUCGACUUUGAGGUUAAAACCUACCUGGCCAUGGAGGCUGACAACCCUGAUGAGAAGAUUGAAAAGAAGGACACUGCUCGUCUCAUCGUUCGUAAAAUUCAGUAUGCCCCCAGUCAGGUGGGCAGCGGACCCAAGGCUGACAUCUGCAAAAGCUUCAUGAUGUCCGACAAGCCCGUUCAUCUGGAGGCCUCAAUGGAUAAAGAUCUCUACUUCCAUGGUGAAUCCAUUCCAAUCAAAAUCAAAAUCAAGAACGAGAGCAACAAAACUGUCAAGAAAAUCAAAAUGACAGUGGAACAGCUGACAGAUAUCGUCCUCUACUCAGCAGACAAAUACACCAAGGUUGUUCUUAGCCAAGAGUUUGGGGAGACAGUUGAGUCCGGUAGCAGUUAUGACAACACCCUGUCCAUCACUCCCCUGCUGGCUGAAAACAAGGAGAAGAGAGGGCUGUCGCUGGACGGACGACUGAAGGACGAGGACACCAACCUUGCCUCCACCACCAUGCUGAGGCCAGGCCUGGAUAAGGAGGUGUUGGGUAUCCUGGUCUCCUACAAGAUUAAGGUGAACCUCAUGGUGGCUGGAGGAGGCCUGCUGGGCGGCCUCACAUCCAGUGAUGUCACGGUGGAGCUGCCAUUGAACCUCAUGCACCCCAAGCCCCAAGAGGAAUAACUGCACAUCAGUGGUCCUGGAGUAAAACUUGGAGUAGAGUCCCCAUAGUCAAGAGAUGAUGUUACACCAGAGGCUGAGAAGAAAUCCACACAAAAAGAGGAAGACAAGGAGAAGUGAGAUGACAAAGAGGAGGAAGACGGGUGUGACUGGCACACAGGAAUGAUAUCACAGGAAUGAUAGCCCUCUCACCGAUUCUGUUGUUCUUGUUUUUGUUGUGAUUUUAGAGGGAGUAGGUAAGGAGCAUAUAAACUGCAAGAUAGAUCCAAAAUCUAGAGACCAAAGCUAGACUACAGUAGACACACACACACACACACACACACACACACACACAACCAUAUGCACGUGGAUGUGACACCCUACUCCCCCUGACCUCCAGCUGUGGGAGUGAGAUAGAAAAUCUGUUUGAAACCCAUAAAAGCUACUCGAAACCACAGUGAUUUAGCUUUUAGUGCAAUAUCGAUUAUUUUGAAUGACAUUGUUUUUUUGUUUUGUGUUUCUUUCUUUCUUUUUUCUUUUUUUUCUUUUUUUUUGUUGUUGAAAUGUAUUAUCCAACUCUGGUUUUGACUGACCAUGUCAAUGACCCCAAAUCCAUUAAAAUAAUUCUAAAAACAGAAAA